rnacentral:rRNA from 1 species
UGGGCGUAAAGCGGGCGCAGACGGUUACUUAAGCAGGAUGUGAAAUCCCCGGGCUCAACCUGGGAACUGCGUUCUGAACUGGGUGACUAGAGUGUGUCAGAGGGAGGUAGAAUUCCACGUGUAGCAGUGAAAUGCGUAGAGAUGUGGAGGAAUACCGAUGGCGAAGGCAGCCUCCUGGGAUAACACUGACGUUCAUGCCCGAAAGCGUGGGUAGCAAACAGGAUUAGAUACCCUGGUAGUCCACGCCCUAAACGAUGUCGAUUAGCUGUUGGGCAGCUUGACUGCUUAGUAGCGAAGCUAACGCGUGAAAUCGACCGCCUGGGGAGUACGGUCGCAAGAUUAAAACUCAAAGGAAUUGACGGGGACCCGCACAAGCGGUGGAUGAUGUGGAUUAAUUCGAUGCAACGCGAAGAACCUUACCUGGUCUUGACAUGUACGGAACCCUCCAGAGACGGAGGGGUGCCUUCGGGAGCCGUAAUACAGGUGCUGCAUGGCUGUCGUCAGCUCGUGUCGUGAG